rnacentral:rRNA from 1 species
UGUAAUCUUAGUGGCGGACGGGUGAGUAACGCGUGGGUAACCUGCCUUACACUGGGGGAUAACACUUAGAAAUAGGUGCUAAUACCGCAUAAGCGCACGAAGCCGCAUGGAUUUGUGUGAAAAACUCCGGUGGUGUAAGAUGGACCCGCGUCUGAUUAGCUUGUUGGCGGGGUAACGGCCACCAAGGCGACGAUCAGUAGCCGGCCUGAGAGGGUGGACGGCCACAUUGGGACUGAGACACGGCCCAAACUCCUACGGAAGGCAGCAG